AGCCUACUGCUAUGGGAUUGGGACUAAGCCAUGCCAGUCAGGCAGCGAACUAUGACAGCUGCCGGCGAAAUGCUUAAUAACGCGUAGUUAACCUACCCUAUGGACGGGGACAACGGGGGGAAACUCCCAUUAAUUCCCGAUCGAUUAGUCAUGUCGAAUACAGGCUAAUCCAAAGCGAAAUGUUCAUGUUCAUUCCAGGCCAUAGGAUGGGACUGCGUUCCAUUAGGUAGUAGGUGGGGUAAAGGCCCACCUAGCCGAGGAUGGAUAGGGGCGCUGAGAGGCGUAGCCCCAAGAUGGCCACUGAGAUAACGGGCCAGGCCUUACGAGGUGCAGCAGGCGCGAAACCUCACCCAUGCGCGAAAGCGUGAGUGGGCCAAUCCCAGUGCUACCCGUCGUGGUAGCUUUCGUGAAGCGUACAACACUUUACGAAUAAGGAGAGGACAAGACUGGUGCCAGCCCCCGCGGUAAAACCAGCUCUUCGAGUGGUAGGCGUGCUUAUUGGGCCUAAAGCGACCGUAGCUGGGCCAGCCAGUUUCCAGAUAAAGCCCACGUCUUAAGCGUGGAAACCCUGGGAAUACUACUGGCCUUGGGAAUGGUAGAGGGCAAAGGUAUUUUUCCGGUAGCGGUGAAAUGCUAUAAUCGGAAAGAGACCACCGGUGGCGAAGGCGUUUGCCUAGAACAUGUCCGACAGUGAGGGUCGAAAGCCAGGGUAGCGAGCCGGAUUAGAUACCCGGGUAGUCCUGGCCGUAAACUAUGAGCGUUAGGUGUUUCCGUGCACACGAAGCACGGUGGUGCCGAAGGGAAGCCGUUAAACGCUCCGCCUGGGAAGUACGCUCGCAAGGGUGAAACUUAAAGGAAUUGGCGGGGGAGCACCACAAGGGGUGGAGCCUGCGGUUUAAUUGGACUCAACGCCGGAAAGCUUACCUGGGUAGACAGCAUUAUGAAGAUCAGGUUGAAGGCCUUAUCUGAAGAGCUGAGAGGAGGUGCAUGGCCGUCGCCAGCUCGUGCCGUGAGGUGUCCUGUUAAGUCAGGCAACGAGCGAGACCGAAACCCUUAAUUACCAGCGAUUGCGCAAGCAAGCUCGGGUACUUUAAGGGGACCGCCGCUGAUUAAAGCGGAGGAAGGAUUCGUCCACGGCAGGUCAGUAUGCCCCGAUAACUCAGGGCCGCACGCGGGCUACAAUGGCACGAACAAUAGGUUCCGAUACCGAAAGGUAAAGGCAAUCCUGAAAUCGUGUCUCAGUUGGAAUUGUAGGCUGGAACCCGUCUACAUGAACUUGGAAUCCCUAGUAGUCGCAUGUCAUCAUCGUGCGGCGAAUACGUCCCUGCUCCUUGCACACACCGCCCGUCGCAGCAUUCGAGACGGGUUUGCCUGAGGCGGCCAUUUU
rnacentral:rRNA from 1 species